GGUACAGUGCAGGACACAAAGGCGCCGCUCGGCACUGCCCCACACUUAGCGCCCGGCCCCUCGCACCCCCUGGCUCUGCAGCACUUAGCAAUGCCCACAGGGCUAGAACGCAGGUUCGCUUUCCUCACCGCCGCCCCCGCCUCCCCGAGCCGUCGCCUGCCUAUUUGCCACGCCAGAAAAGCCCUUUAAACUGCGGAGCUCUGGGCUAAAAAGUGUUUGCUGAUCUCUUCGCCUCCGCACCGCCGCUAAACGCUCGGGAAACCGGUGGACGUAGGGCUGCCCCGCCUCGACAAAUACUCCGGCUUUAAUUGCCAGAAGCCCAGUUAAAAUUAUUUGACGUACUGUUAACCCCUAGGAACGAACUCGCCGUCCCGAGAUCCUUUCCUUUCUGCCUCGUACCGUCGCCGAAGUCUGAGACCCGGGGAGACCUAUUUUAAAAACGUGGUUAAACUUUUACUAUUGUUGCAUGAAAGGGAUGAUAUAGAAAGCGGAUCGCGCGGGGCAGAGACUAAAAAGUACUUCUCUGCCAAUAAAAAUGCACACCCCACCGAACGAGCGCAGCCAAAGAAAACAGAGAAAUACGCCAAAGAACACAGCACCUUUCGAGGCACGGACAUCCCUCGGCUGUUGGGAAAAGAAAUGUUUUUUUGCUGUGCUGAUGCUCGAUUUCAGAAAAGAAAUAUUUGGCUUCCGGACGGAUUUAAUCAUAACAGAAAAACAGAGAGGCAAAAGGCUGUGUGGUGGUGUCGGUGCUCUGCUGAAAUCACGCGGAGCUCGAGGGCUGCGCCCCCGUGGGCAGGGGAGGCUGAUGGAAAGGGGACCGAAAUGCUGCAGGGAUAAUAUUUGGAUUCCCCCCCCCUGCCCCCCCCCUUUCCUCUGCAGCGCCGUGGAAGUAUUUAUACGUCCGGAGAAAGUUCUAUAGUAAAUUCGGGAGAUCUUCGCUAUUUGAAUAUCAACGUCGAUUUGUUUAUUUAUUGCUCGGCUUAUCGUACCAGACUCCGUAACAAAUCUAAUCAUGGUGCUCGCAGGAAAAGAAAAUAUUCUCAUUAUGUAUUUUCCCUCCAUUAUAGUUAACUGUUACAUUUGAAUUCGAGCUGUAAAUUCAAUAUUAUCAAGUAAUUACUUUGUGGCGGAGUAAACUAAUUUAUUAGCA